rnacentral:snRNA from 1 species
AGCUUUGUGCAGUGGUAGUAUUGUAGCCAAUAAGGUUUAUCUGAGGCGCCAUUAUUGCUAAUUGAUCCUCAUAUAUUAAAAAUCUACUUACCAUACUAUUAUAAUAUUUUAAUGCUAUAGCAGUAA